rnacentral:rRNA from 1 species
CCUACGGGUGGCAGCAGUGGGGAAUAUUGCACAAUGGGGGAAACCCUGAUGCAGCGACGCCGCGUGAGCGAUGAAGUAUUUCGGUAUGUAAAGCUCUAUCAGCAGGGAAGAAAAUGACGGUACCUGACUAAGAAGCCCCGGCUAACUACGUGCCAGCAGCCGCGGUAAUACGUAGGGGGCAAGCGUUAUCCGGAUUUACUGGGUGUAAAGGGAGCGUAGACGGCUUGGCAAGCCAGAUGUGAAAGGCUGGGGCUCAACCCCAGGACUGCAUUUGGAACUGUCAUGCUAGAGUGUCGGAGAGGCAGGCGGAAUUCCUAGUGUAGCGGUGAAAUGCGUAGAUAUUAGGAGGAACACCAGUUGCGAAGGCGGCUCUCUGGACUGUAACUGACACUGAGGCACGAAAGCGUGGGGAGCAAACAGGAUUAGAUACCCCAGUAGUC